CGAGUGGAUCAAUCGGACCGCGCACUGGACUCACAAUCCAGAGGUCGCCGGUUCGAAUCCCGCGAAUUCGG
rnacentral:tRNA from 1 species